AGCGAACGCUGGCGGCAGGCCUAACACAUGCGAGUCGAACGGAUCCUUCGGGAUUAGUGGCGGACGGGUGAGUAACACGUGGGAACGUGCCCUUUGGUUCGGAACAACUCAGGGAAACUUGAGCUAAUACCGGAUGUGUCCUUCGGGGGAAAGAUUUAUCGCCAUUGGAGCGGCCCGCGUCUGAUUAGCUAGUUGGUGAGGUAACGGCCCACCAAGGCGACGAUCAGUAGCUGGUCUGAGAGGAUGAUCAGCCACACUGGGACUGAGACACGGCCCAGACUCCUACGGGAGGCAGCAGUGGGGAAUCUUGCGCAAUGGGCGAAAGCCUGACGCAGCCAUGCCGCGUGAAUGAUGAGGGUCUUAGGAUUGUAAAAUUCUUUCAGCGGGGACGAUAAUGACGGUACCCGCAGAAGAAGCUCCGGCUAACUUCGUG
rnacentral:rRNA from 1 species